AUGCGUUGUUGGGUAGGGGAGCGUUCUGUAAGCCUGCGAAGGUGUGCUGUGAGGCAUGCUGGAGGUAUCAGAAGUGCGAAUGCUGACAUAAGUAACGAUAAAGCGGGUGAAAAGCCCGCUCGCCGGAAGACCAAGGGUUCCUGUCCAACGUUAAUCGGGGCAGGGUGAGUCGACCCCUAAGGCGAGGCCGAAAGGCGUAGUCGAUGGGAAACAGGUUAAUAUUCCUGUACUUGGUGUUACUGCGAAGGGGGGACGGAGAAGGCUAUGUUGGCCGGGCGACGGUUGUCCCGGUUUAAGCGUGUAGGCUGGUUUUCCAGGCAAAUCCGGAAAAUCAAGGCUGAGGCGUGAUGACGAGGCACUACGGUGCUGAAGCAACAAAUGCCCUGCUUCCAGGAAAAGCCUCUAAGCAUCAGGUAACAUCAAAUCGUACCCCAAACCGACACAGGUGGUCAGGUAGAGAAUACCAAGGCGCUUGAGAGAACUCGGGUGAAGGAACUAGGCAAAAUGGUGCCGUAACUUCGGGAGAAGGCACGCUGAUAUGUAGGUGAAGUCCCUCGCGGAUGGAGCUGAAAUCAGUCGAAGAUACCAGCUGGCUGCAACUGUUUAUUAAAAACACAGCACUGUGCAAACACGAAAGUGGACGUAUACGGUGUGACGCCUGCCCGGUGCCGGAAGGUUAAUUGAUGGGGUUAGCGCAAGCGAAGCUCUUGAUCGAAGCCCCGGUAAACGGCGGCCGUAACUAUAACGGUCCUAAGGUAGCGAAAUUCCUUGUCGGGUAAGUUCCGACCUGCACGAAUGGCGUAAUGAUGGCCAGGCUGUCUCCACCCGAGACUCAGUGAAAUUGAACUCGCUGUGAAGAUGCAGUGUACCCGCGGCAAGACGGAAAGACCCCGUGAACCUUUACUAUAGCUUGACACUGAACAUUGAGCCUUGAUGUGUAGGAUAGGUGGGAGGCUUUGAAGUGUGGACGCCAGUCUGCAUGGAGCCGACCUUGAAAUACCACCCUUUAAUGUUUGAUGUUCUAACGUUGACCCGUAAUCCGGGUUGCGGACAGUGUCUGGUGGGUAGUUUGACUGGGGCGGUCUCCUCCUAAAGAGUAACGGAGGAGCACGAAGGUUGGCUAAUCCUGGUCGGACAUCAGGAGGUUAGUGCAAUGGCAUAAGC
rnacentral:rRNA from 1 species